GCAAGGCCUUGCGCGGACGGAGCGGCCGAUGGCAGAUUAGGUAGUUGGUGGGAUAAAAGCUUACCAAGCCGACGAUCUGUAGCUGGUCUGAGAGGACGACCAGCCACACUGGGACUGAGACACGGCCCAGACUCCUACGGGAGGCAGCAGUGGGGAAUUUUGGACAAUGGGCGAAAGCCUGAUCCAGCCAUGCCGCGUGCAGGAUGAAGGCCUUCGGGUUGUAAACUGCUUUUGUACGGAACGAAAAGACUCCUUCUAAUAAAGGGGGUCCAUGACGGUACCGUAAGAAUAAGCACCGGCUAACUACGUGCCAGCAGCCGCGGUAAUACGUAGGGUGCAAGCGUUAAUCGGAAUUACUGGGCGUAAAGCGUGCGCAGGCGGUUAUAUAAGACAGAUGUGAAAUCCCCGGGCUCAACCUGGGAACUGCAUUUGUGACUGUAUAGCUAGAGUACGGUAGAGGGGGAUGGAAUUCCGCGUGUAGCAGUGAAAUGCGUAGAUAUGCGGAGGAACACCGAUGGCGAAGGCAAUCCCCUGGACCUGUACUGACGCUCAUGCACGAAAGCGUGGGGAGCAAACAGGAUUAGAUACCCUGGUAGUCCACGCCCUAAACGAUGUCAACUGGUUGUUGGGUCUUCACUGACUCAGUAACGAAGCUAACGCGUGAAGUUGACCGCCUGGGGAGUACGGCCGCAAGGUUUAAACUCAAAGGAAUUGACGGGGACCCGCACAAGCGGUGGAUGAUGUGGUUUAAUUCGAUGCAACGCGAAAAACCUUACCCACCUUUGACAUGUACGGAAUCCUUUAGAGAUAGAGGAGUGCUCGAAAGAGAACCGUAACACAGGUGCUGCAUGGCUGUCGCCAGCUCGUGUCGUGAGAUGUUGGGUUAAGUCCCGCAACGAGCGCAACCCUUGUCAUUAGUUGCUACAUUUAGUUGGGCACUCUAAUGAGACUGCCGGUGACAAACCGGAGGAAGGUGGGGAUGACGUCAAGUCCUCAUGGCCCUUAUAGGUGGGGCUACACACGUCAUACAAUGGAUGGUACAAAGGGUCGCCAACCCGCGAGGGGGAGCCAAUCCCAUAAAGCCAUUCGUAGUCCGGAUCGCAGUCUGCAACUCGACUGCGUGAAGUCGGAAUCGCUAGUAAUCGUGGAUCAGAAUGUCACGGUGAAUACGUUCCCGGGUCUUGUACACACCGCCCGUCACACCAUGGGAGCGGGUUCUGCCAGAAGUAGUUAGCCUAACCGCAAGGAGGGCGAUUACCACGGCAGGGUUCGUGACUGGGGUGAAGUCGUAACAAGGUA
rnacentral:rRNA from 1 species